rnacentral:rRNA from 1 species
GCAGCCUGCAACUCGGCUGCAUGAAGCUGGAAUCGCUAGUAAUCGCGGAUCAGAACGCCGCGGUGAAUACGUUCCCGGGUCUUGUACACACCGCCCGUCACGCCAUGGGAGCCGGAAACGCCCGAAGCCAGCGGCCCAACCGCAAGGGGGGAGCUGUCGAAGGCGGGGCCGGUGACCGGGGUGAAGUCGUAACAAGGUAGC